rnacentral:rRNA from 1 species
UACGUAGGGGCCGAGCGUUGUCCGGAGUUACUGGGCGUAAAGCGCGCGCAGGCGGCUCGUCAAGCCUGACGUGAAAGCCCCCGGCUCAACCGGGGAGGGUCGUCGGGGACUGGCGAGCUUGAGGUCGGCAGGGGUUGGUGGAAUUCCCGGUGUAGUGGUGAAAUGCGUAGAGAUCGGGAGGAACACCCGUGGCGAAGGCGACUACCUGGCCGGUUCUUGACGCUGAGGCGCGAAAGCUAGGGGAGCAAACGGG